GAUGAACGCUAGCUACAGGCUUAACACAUGCAAGUCGAGGGACCGGCGCACGGGAGAGUAACACGUAUCCAACCUGCCCUUUACUCGGGGAUAGCCUUUCGAAAGAAAGAUUAAUACCCGAUAUAAAGGAUGGGGAUGCGUUUCAUUAGGUUGUUGGUGAGGUAACGGCUCACCAAGCCUUCGAUGGAUAGGGGUUCUGAGAGGCAGGUCCCCACACUUGGAGAUGUGACAGCGUCGACACUCCAACGGGAGGAUGCAGUGAGGAAUACUGGUCAAUGGGUGCGAGUCUGAACCAGCUAAGUAGCGGGAGGAAGGAAGGCUUAUGGGUCGUAAACUUCUUUUAUAGAAGAACAUGUACUAUAUGAAUAAGGACCGGCUAACUCCGUGCCAGCAGCCGCGGUAAUAC
rnacentral:rRNA from 1 species